AUGGUAAAUAAUAUGUACAUCGAGGGAAAUGUAGCCAGAGCUUCUAUGUCAGAUUGGCUUGUUCCCUUUUCUGUCCUUUCCUUUAUAGACUCUGAGCCCCUUCAGGUAUUACUUUCUGUACCCACAACUCUAAUAUCUAUAUUGAUCCUGAUAUAUGUCAUGCUGACCUUAAUGGGUAAUAAUUACACCUUCUGUCCAGACAGAAACUGUAAACAAAAUGUCAGUGUCAUGAUCUCACAUGCUUGUAGAAUAAUUAACAAUUAUACUUUGUGCCUGAUGGAAACCCUCCUCUGGAACUACUGCAUGAGAGCAGAACACUUGAAUGCUAGACCAGAUUUCCUGAGACCAGCCACUGGACAUCUUCCUAAAGAAGCAAUGGAACAAAUCCUUCCAGGGCCUUGUAUUUGGGGAAAGUUAAUCCUAUUGUGACUCCUUGGUGUGGCUGUUUUAGCAGGACAUGGAGCUGACACAACGGAGGAGGGAGCUCUGUGAGCCCGUCUAGGUGAGUGUGUGUCUCAUGUGGAAUGGGAGCUGGGCUCAGAGCAGGGGUUCCCAGGCUCACUGAGUAGACACAAGGGAACUCUUGGCUAUGGGAAGACCUCAAUUGAUAAUUUUCAAAUGACUACCGGAUUUUCCAUCAAAACUGACAAAUAUUUGAUGUCUUGGGGAAGGAUUGAGGGUGGGACAGAAAUUCUUGGUCAGAGAUGGCACUAGAAGCUGCCUGAUCUGGAACAGUUCCAUCCAAAAAUACAGGUGCUAUAUUCUCAACCAGAAAAUAGAUUUUGAAUUCCCACUCUACUGCUAAUGUCUGUUUGAGUGACUAUUCCUCAUGUUAUUUUUCUU
rnacentral:lncRNA from 1 species